UACAGAGGUCCCGAGCGUUGUUCGGAUUCACUGGGCGUAAAGGGUGCGUAGGUGGUUAGGCAAGUCUGUUGUGAAAUCCCGGAGCUUAACUCCGGAACUGCAUCGGAUACUAUCUAGCUAGAGGGUUGUAGGGGGGACUGGAAUUCUCGGUGUAGCAGUGAAAUGCGUAGAUAUCAGGAAGAACACCUAUGGCGAAGGCAGCACUCUGGGACGGUACUGACGCUGAGACGCGAAAGCGUGGGGAGCGAACAGG
rnacentral:rRNA from 1 species